rnacentral:sRNA from 1 species
AUUUGGGCAAGAAUGGGCAAAGAUGGGCAAGAAUGGGCAAGUUUGGGCAACAUAGGCAUGCUGUGCGCGAAGUUUGCCCCGCCGGGCGUUGACCGUUUGACCACGCCAUGGACACGUGGGCUGGCUUACUUGGAGCCCAAGCAAAGUUUCUUGGAGCCAAAUUUAUGAGGAUUGGAGCCAAAGUUUCCCCUUCCACGUGUCAUUGUCCCAGUCUUGCAGCAUAUGUGUCUUCAUGGGCGGGCGACAUGUGUCCCGCAAGGUGUCACCACCAGAUGACAUGCGUUUGCUUGGAGCCCAAGUUGUUCCACCUAUAAUUGCUUGGCCAAAGUCAAGCCAUUUGAUGGGAGAAAGGAGAGAGAACCGGAAGGCUGCCCGACUCAUAAAAAUCGCCCGUAACCGAGAGAAAACUUGCCCGCGAUUGAGAAACUUUGCCCGUGAUCAAGAUCCUUUGCCCUUAACUAAAGAAUUCAUGUCCAUGAUCAAGAGAACCUGUUCGUGGAUAAGAUAUCCAUGUCGGCGACCGAGACAUCCGUGGAGAUCGUGUGUGAAUCCUGUUGAGUCGAAUCAAGACUUCUUUUAAAAGAUUUGAUAUGCCGAUUUGUGUUAAAACUCAAGAAUGAGGGAGGUUACUUAGAA